rnacentral:rRNA from 1 species
AUUGAACGCUGGCGGCAUGCCUAACACAUGCAAGUCGAGCGGAUGAAGGGAGCUUUCUCCUGGAUUCAGCUGCGGACGGGUGAGUAAUGCCUAGGAAUCUGCCUGGUAGUGGGGGAUAACGUCCGUAAACGGGCGCUAAUACCGCAUACGUCCUGAUGGAGAAAGUGGGGGAUCUUCGGACCUCACGCUAUCAGAUGAGCCUAGGUCGGAUUAGCUAGUUGGUGGGGUAAAGGCCUACCAAGGCGACGAUCCGUAACUGGUCUGAGAGGAUGAUCAGUCACACUGGAACUGAGACACGGUCCAGACUCCUACGGGAGGCAGCAGUGGGGAAUAUUGGACAAUGGGCGAAAGCCUGAUCCAGCCAUGCCGCGUGUGUGAAGAAGGUCUUCGGAUUGUAAAGCACUUUAAGUUGGGAGGAAGGGCAGUAAGUUAAUACAUUGCUGUUUUGACGUUACCAACAGAAUAAGCACCGGCUAACUUCGUG